UACGGAGGGUGCAAGCGUUAUCCGGAUUCACUGGGUUUAAAGGGUGCGUAGGUGGGUCUGUAAGUCAGUGGUGAAAUCCCCGAGCUUAACUUGGGAACUGCCGUUGAUACUAUAGAUCUUGAAUAUCGUGGAGGUAAGCGGAAUAUGUCAUGUAGCGGUGAAAUGCUUAGAUAUGACAUAGAACACCAAUUGCGAAGGCAGCUUGCUACACGGUCAUUGACACUGAGGCACGAAAGCGUGGGGAGCAAACAGG
rnacentral:rRNA from 1 species